rnacentral:misc_RNA from 1 species
UACGUGGGUGGCGAGCGUUGUCCGGAUUUACUGGGCGUAAAGGGCGUGCAGGCGGUUUGUUAAGUUCAGGGUGAAAGCUCCCGGCUCAACUGGGAGAGGUCCUUGGAUACUGGCAGACUUGAGGAGAGUAGAGGAAAGUGGAAUUCCCGGUGUAGUGGUGAUAUGCGUAGAUAUCGGGAGGAACACCAGUGGCGAAGGCGGCUUUCUGGGCUCUACCUGACGCUGAGACGCGAAAGCGUGGGGAGCGAACCGG